ACAGCUCCUAUCUCACCCUUUCUCUUUCAUUCUCAGUAUCAAUUAUUCUAAAAAAACAUUGAUCUCUCCCCUAUCUCUAAGAAACUAAAACAAAAAGCAAAACUUGUUUCCAGAAUUGAAACUCAGAUCCCCCACAUCUCUAGCUCACAGUUUAAAAGAAACUCUCAUCCUUCUUUUUUUCUCUCAGAAAUUCCAAAUUGACCUUUUCCGGCCAAACCAAAUCCAAAUCAGUUAACCAAACAUUUUCACCAAGGGAAAAUCAAGGCUAAAAAUAAACUUUAAAACCACGAGUUUAUGUGGUGCGAGAAAGGGAAUGAAGUGGCUGUUAACGUUUGAGUUAGUGUUGACAAUUGAUUGAUUGAAAAAAAAAUUCAAGAAAAAUUGUUAAGGAAGCAAGCUGAACUCAUGGUGAUUGAAAGUUGUUCUUGUCAUAAUCUUGCAACAUUUUCUCCAACAGAUCUUUUUCUGAUUGGCAUUAAUGGGCUUGCUUCUGUUAUAGAAGCGAGUUUUUGAUUUGCAGUACUGUUGAGAAAGGUGGUGAUAGAGGUUUCCCUUACUCAAAGGGUUUUCAUUUUGUUGGAGUUGGGUAUUGGUUUUGGUUUGUGUCGGGGAUUUAGAUGUUUGGGUAUCAUUUAGCACCUGAAAUUAAUCAUCAGUUCGAGGUUGGGUCGUAUAGGCUUGAUAAUGAUCUAAUGCAUCAGCAAUUUGCUCUAGUUUACGUUUUGCCGACACGGAUGCAGCACCAAUUGCAGACCCUCUCAUGUCAUCAACACUAGAACCAGCACCAAUUACCUGGCUUUGGGAGAAAUGGAAUGAAGUGGCCGUUGCUUCAUGAGGAGAAAAGAAUUCAAGAUGAAAUUCAAGAGCUUAACCCGUUAAUUGCAAAUUCAGGAGGUUACAGUCAUCCAUAAUACAAUCGGCUUGGCGGAAGCAUUCCAGGUUCAUUUCAGAAGCUAAUUUCCCAAACAUAUCGAGGAACGUCAGAUAACAGAUUUACUCCAAGAAUUACUAACAUCAUCAAUUGGAGCAUAUGCCUUGUGUACUUGGAUCACGCAGUUACUCCUGGUUGCCAGCAAAGGAUUGAGUGCUCAUUGAUAUCCCCAAAUUUUAUUUACAAACCCUGGUACAUUGCGGAUGAGUGAACUUCCGUUCGUCCUUCUGCAGUUUCUUCAAGCAACUACUUGAAAUGUUUUCUCUGCAGUUGGCUCACAAGUUUUAAUUUCAUGACUUGUGCUUUAGCUAGAUUUUAUCCAAU